UGUUCGGAAUUACUGGGCGUAAAGGGCUCGUAGGCGGCCAACUAAGUCAUACGUGAAAUCCCUCAGCUUAACUGGGGAACUGCGUCUGAUACUGGGGGGCUUGAGUAUGGGAGAGGGAUGUAGAAUUCCAGGUGUAGCGGUGAAAUGCGUAGAUAUCUGGAGGAAUACCGGUGGCGAAGGCGGCAUCCUGGACCAUUACUGACGCUGAGGCGCGAAAGCUAGGGGAGCAAACGGG
rnacentral:rRNA from 1 species